rnacentral:rRNA from 1 species
AAGACCUUGCGCUUUUGGAGCGGCCGAUGCCUGAUUAGCUUGUUGGUAAGGUAAAAGCUUACCAAGGCUUCGAUCAGUAGCUGGUCUGAGAGGACGGCCAGCCACACUGGGACUGAGACACGGCCCAGACUCCUACGGGAGGCAGCAGUGGGGAAUUUUGGACAAUGGGGGCAACCCUGAUCCAGCCAUGCCGCGUGAGUGAAGAAGGCCUUCGGGUUGUAAAGCUCUUUCAGCCGGAACGAAACGGUUACGGUUAAUACCCGUGACUACUGACGGUACCGGAAGAAGAAGCACCGGCUAACUACGUGCCAGCAGCCGCGGUAAUACGUAGGGUGCAAGCGUUAAUCGGAAUUACUGGGCGUAAAGCGUGCGCAGGUGGUUUUGUAAGUCAGAUGUGAAAGCCCCGGGCUUCAACCUGGGAACU